rnacentral:rRNA from 1 species
CUGGCUCAGGAUGAACGCUAGCGACAGGCUAACACAUGCAAGUCGAGGGGCAUCACGGGAGUAGCAAUACAACUGGUGGCGACCGGCGCACGGGUGAGUAACGCGUAUGCAACCUACCUAUCAGAGGGGAAUAACCCGGCGAAAGUCGGACUAAUACCGCAUAAAACAGGGGCACCGCAUGGUGAUAUUUGUUAAAGAAAUUCGCUGAUAGAUGGGCAUGCGUUCCAUUAGGUAGUUGGUGAGGUAACGGCUCACCAAGCCGACGAUGGAUAGGGGAACUGAGAGGUUGGUCCCCCACACUGGUACUGAGACACGGACCAGACUCCUACGGGAGGCAGCAGUGAGGAAUAUUGGUCAAUGGGCGGGAGCCUGAACCAGCCAAGUCGCGUGAAGGAAGAAGGAUCUAUGGUUCGUAAACUUCUUUUGCAGGGGAAUAAAGUGCAGGACGUGUCCUGUUUUGUAUGUACCCUGAGAAUAAGGAUCGGCUAACUCCGUGCCAGCCGCCGC